rnacentral:rRNA from 1 species
UACGUAGGGGGCAAGCGUUGUCCGGAAUCAUUGGGCGUAAAGAGCGUGUAGGCGGCCAGAUAAGUCCGCUGUGAAAUCUCGAGGCUCAACUUCGAGCUGUCGGUGGAAACUGUCUGACUAGAGUCCGGAAGAGGAGAAUGGAAUUCCUGGUGUAGCGGUGAAAUGCGCAGGUAUCAGGAAGAACACCCGUGGCGAAGGCGGUUCUCUGGGACGGUACUGACGCUGAGACGCGAAAGCGUGGGGAGCGAACAGG